GAUGAACGCUGGCGGCGUGCCUAAUACAUGCAAGUCGAGCGAACGGACGAGAAGCUUGCUUCUCUGAUGUUAGCGGCGGACGGGUGAGUAACACGUGGAUAACCUACCUAUAAGACUGGGAUAACUUCGGGAAACCGUAGCUAAUACCGGAUAAUAUUUUGAACCGCAUGGUUCAAAAGUGAAAGACGGUCUUGCUGUCACUUAUAGAUGGAUCCGCGCUGCAUUAGCUAGUUGGUAAGGUAACGGCUUACCAAGGCAACGAUGCAUAGCGGACCUGAGAGGAUGGUCGGCCACACUGGAACUGAGAAACGGUCCAGACACCGACGGGAGGCAGCAGUGGGGAAUAUUGGAAAAUGGGGGGAAGCCUGAUCCAGCAGUACCGCGUGGGUGAAGAAGGCAUUCGGGUUGUAAAGCCCUUUUGUUGGGAAAGAAAAGCAGCAGGUUAAUACCCCGCUGUUCUGACGGUACCCAAAGAAUAAGCCCCGGCUAACUUCGUG
rnacentral:rRNA from 1 species